rnacentral:rRNA from 1 species
GCUCAGGAUGAACGCUAGCGGCAGGCCUAACACAUGCAAGUCGAACGGUAACAUUGGUUGCUUGCAACCAGAUGACGAGUGGCGCACGGGUGCGGAACGCGUAUGGAACCUGCCCCUGUCAGGGGAAUAGCCCAGAGAAAUUUGGAUUAAUGCCCCAUGGUAACGCGAUGUUGCAUGACAUUGCGUUUAAAGAUUUAUCGGACAGGGAUGGCCAUGCGUAUCAUUAGCUGGUUGGUAAGGUAACGGCUUACCAAGGCAACGAUGAUUAGGGGCCCUGAGAGGGGGAUCCCCCACACUGGUACUGAGACACGGACCAGACUCCUACGGGAGGCAGCAGUGAGGAAUAUUGGACAAUGGUCGGGAGACUGAUCCAGCCAUGCCGCGUGCAGGAUGACUGCCCUAUGGGUUGUAAACUGCUUUUAUACGGGAAGAAACGCAGGUACGUGUACCUGUCUGACGGUACCGCAAGAAUAAGGAUCGGCUAACUCCGUGCCAGCAGCCGCGGUAAUACGGAGGGUCCGAGCGUUAUCCGGAAUCAUUGGGUUUAAAGGGUCCGUAGGCGGGCCUAUAAGUCAGAGGUGAAAGGCCACGGCUCAACCGUGGGACUGCCUUUGAUACUGUAAGUCUUGAGUCAUAGUGGGGUUGCCGGAACAUGUGGUGUAGCGGUGAAAUGCAUAGAUAUCACAUAGAACACCGAUCGCGAAGGCAGGUGGCCAACUAUGAACUGACGCUGAUGGACGAAAGCGUGGGGAGCGAACGGGAUUAGAUACCCCGGUAGUCCACGCCGUAAACGAUGGACACUAGCUGUGGGGUCUUCGGACUCCGUGGCCAAGCGAAAGUGAUAAGUGUCCUACCUGGGGAGUACGUUCGCAAGAAUGAAACUCAAA